UCGCACGAGCCCCCGGGCAUCUCUGAAUGAAUAUAAGUUUUGACGAAGAAUGCCCCAAAGCUUGUGCUACAACGCAAGCCGUCUGUGUUGCAGUUUAGCCUCUGUACCUCACUUUCCCUUGGCUAUUUCUGUGUCAAAUCCGACGGCAACAUAU